rnacentral:guide_RNA from 1 species
AAAUUAAAUCACAUAUAUGACGAGCGAUACAGUGCUGUAGAUGAUACUAU